rnacentral:rRNA from 1 species
ACGGGGUGAAUAUCCCAAGGCGCGUGAGAGAACCCUGGUUAAGGAACUCGCAAAUUGACACCGUAACUUCGGGAGAAGGUGUGCCGCUGGCGGUUAGUGACUUCGCGUCACGAAGCUGUCGGUGGUCGCAGUGAAAUGGCGGUUGUGACUGUUUACUAAAAACACAGGACUCUGCGAAGUCGUAAGACGACGUAUAGGGUCUGAUGCCUGCCCGGUGCUGGAAGGUUAAGGGGAUAUGUCAGCGCAAGCGAAGCAUUGAACCGAAGCCCCAGUAAACGGCGGCCGUAACUAUAACGGUCCUAAGGUAGCGAAAUUCCUUGUCGGGUAAGUUCCGACCUGCACGAGGGCAUAACAACAUCCGCACUGUCUCGACCAGGGACUCAGCGAAAUUACAUUGGGGGUGAAGAUGCCCUCUACCCGCGGAAAGACGGAAAGACCCCAUGAACCUUUACUGCAACUUGGCAGUGAUUUUCGGGUUGUUCUGCGUAGGAUAGGUGGGAGGCUUUGAAGCCGGGCUUCCGGGUUCGGCAGAGCCAACGUUGAAAUACCACCCUGAAUAAUCUGGAAAUCUAACCUGCGCCCAUGAUCUGGGCGAGGGACACUGCCUGGUGGGCAGUUUGACUGGGGCGGUCGCCUCCUAAAUUGUAACGGAGGCGUGCGACGGUUCCCUCAGGCUGAUUGGAAACCAGCCGUAGAGUGCAAACGCAUAAGGGAGCUUUACUGCGAGACUAACAAGUCGAACAGUUGCGAAAGCAGGUGUUAGUGAUCCGGUGGUACCACAUGGAAGGGCCAUCGCUCAUCGGAUAAAAGGUACUCUGGGGAUAACAGGCUGAUCGCGCCUGAGAGUUCACAUCGGCGGCGCGGUUUGGCACCUCGAUGUCGGCUCAUCGCAUCCUGGGGCUGGAGCAGGUCCCAAGGGUUUGGCUGUUCGCCAAUUAAAGCGGUACACGAGCUGGGUUUAAAACGUCGUGAGACAGUUUGGUCCCUAUCUUCCGUGGGCGCAGGACACUUGAGAGGAGCUAUCCAUAGUACGAGAGGACCUGGAUGGACGAACCUCUGGUGCUCCGGUUGUCACGCCAGUGGCAUAGCCGGGUAGCCAUGUUCGGAACAGAUAACCGCUGAAGGCAUAUAAGCGGGAAGCUGGCCUCAAGACUAGGUGUCCCUGACGCAAGUCACUAAAGGCCCCUCGAAGACUACGAGGUUGAUAGGCUCGGUGUGGAAGCGCUGCGAGGCGUGGAGCUAACGAGUACUAAUAGGCCGUGCGACUUGACCUC